rnacentral:rRNA from 1 species
GAUGAACGCUGGCGGCGUGCCUAAUACAUGCAAGUCGAACGGACAUGUAGCAAUACAUGUUAGUGGCGAACGGGUGAGUAACGCGUUGGUGACCUGCCCCGAAGUGUGGGAUAACAGUUCGAAAGAACUGCUAAUACCGCAUGUGGUGCCAGGACUUAGAAACCGGUCACUAAAGGAGUAAUUCGCGUCGGGAUGGACCUGCGUCCCAUCAGCUAGUUGGUAGGGUAACGGCCUACCAAGGCGUCGACGGGUAAGGGACCUGAGAGGGUGGUCCCUCACAAUGGCACUGAAACACGGGCCAUACACCUACGGGUGGCAGCAGUAGGGAAUAUUGGGCAAUGGGCGAAAGCCUGACCCAGCAACGCCGCGUGUGCGACGAAGGUCUUCGGAUCGUAAAGCACUUUUCUGGGAGAUGAGAAAGGACAGUAUCCCAGGAAUAAGUCUCGACUAACUACGUGCCAGCAGCCGCCGCCG